ACUUAAAUUGAAGAGUUUGAUCAUGGCUCAGAUUGAACGCUGGCGGCAGGCCUAACACAUGCAAGUCGAGCGGUAGCACAGAGAGCUUGCUCUCGGGUGACGAGCGGCGGACGGGUGAGUAAUGUCUGGGAAACUGCCUGAUGGAGGGGGAUAACUACUGGAAACGGUAGCUAAUACCGCAUAACGUCGCAAGACCAAAGUGGGGGACCUUCGGGCCUCAUGCCAUCAGAUGUGCCCAGAUGGGAUUAGCUAGUAGGUGGGGUAAUGGCUCACCUAGGCGACGAUCCCUAGCUGGUCUGAGAGGAUGACCAGCCACACUGGAACUGAGACACGGUCCAGACUCCUACGGGAGGCAGCAGUGGGGAAUAUUGCACAAUGGGCGCAAGCCUGAUGCAGCCAUGCCGCGUGUAUGAAGAAGGCCUUCGGGUUGUAAAGUACUUUCAGCGAGGAGGAAGGCAUUAAGGUUAAUAACCUUGGUGAUUGACGUUACUCGCAGAAGAAGCACCGGCUAACUCCGUGCCAGCAGCCGCGGUAAUACGGAGGGUGCAAGCGUUAAUCGGAAUUACUGGGCGUAAAGCGCACGCAGGCGGUCUGUCAAGUCGGAUGUGAAAUCCCCGGGCUCAACCUGGGAACUGCAUUCGAAACUGGCAGGCUAGAGUCUUGUAGAGGGGGGUAGAAUUCCAGGUGUAGCGGUGAAAUGCGUAGAGAUCUGGAGGAAUACCGGUGGCGAAGGCGGCCCCCUGGACAAAGACUGACGCUCAGGUGCGAAAGCGUGGGGAGCAAACAGGAUUAGAUACCCUGGUAGUCCACGCCGUAAACGAUGUCGACUUGGAGGUUGUGCCCUUGAGGCGUGGCUUCCGGAGCUAACGCGUUAAGUCGACCGCCUGGGGAGUACGGCCGCAAGGUUAAAACUCAAAUGAAUUGACGGGGGCCCGCACAAGCGGUGGAGCAUGUGGUUUAAUUCGAUGCAACGCGAAGAACCUUACCUACUCUUGACAUCCAGAGAACUUAGCAGAGAUGCUUUGGUGCCUUCGGGAACUCUGAGACAGGUGCUGCAUGGCUGUCGUCAGCUCGUGUUGUGAAAUGUUGGGUUAAGUCCCGCAACGAGCGCAACCCUUAUCCUUUGUUGCCAGCGAUUAGGUCGGGAACUCAAAGGAGACUGCCAGUGAUAAACUGGAGGAAGGUGGGGAUGACGUCAAGUCAUCAUGGCCCUUACGAGUAGGGCUACACACGUGCUACAAUGGCAUAUACAAAGAGAAGCGACCUCGCGAGAGCAAGCGGACCUCAUAAAGUAUGUCGUAGUCCGGAUUGGAGUCUGCAACUCGACUCCAUGAAGUCGGAAUCGCUAGUAAUCGUAGAUCAGAAUGCUACGGUGAAUACGUUCCCGGGCCUUGUACACACCGCCCGUCACACCAUGGGAGUGGGUUGCAAAAGAAGUAGGUAGCUUAACCUUCGGGAGGGCGCUUACCACUUUGUGAUUCAUGACUGGGGUGAAGUCGUAACAAGGUAACCGUAGGGGAACCUGCGGUUGGAUCACCUCCUUACCUUAAAGAA
rnacentral:rRNA from 1 species